UCCAAGCCACAUUUUGAAAUGCCUGCCAGA
rnacentral:piRNA from 1 species